UACGGGGGGAGCAAGCGUUGUUCGGAUUUACUGGGCGUAAAGGGCGCGUAGGCGGUCGUGACAAGUCACUUGUGAAAUCUCCGGGCUUAACUCGGAACGGUCAAGUGAUAACUGUCGGACUAGAGUACAGAAGGGGCAACUGGAAUUCUCGGUGUAGCGGUAGAAAUGCGUAGAUAUCGAGAGGAACACCUGCGGCGAAGGCGGGUUGCUGGGCUGAUACUGACGCUGGAGGCGACGAAAGCAUGGGGAGCGAACAGG
rnacentral:rRNA from 1 species